UAAAGGUUUGGUCCUAGCCUUAUAGUUAAUUGAAAGUAAACUUACACAUGCAAAUCUCCAUGUACCUGUGCCUAAUUCCCUUAGACUUUAUACAAAUCUGAGGAAAAGGUAUCAAGCUCAUAACCCAUAGCUCUCGACACCUAGCUAAGCCACACCCCCACGGGAUCUCAGCAGUGAUAAAAUUUUAGCAAUAAACGAAAGUUUGACUAAGUUAUACUUUAAAGAGUUGGUAAAUUUCGUGCCAGCCACCGCGGUCAUACGAUUAACUCAAAUUAACUAACCAACGGCGUAAAAUGUGUUAUUUAUAUUUCCUGAAUAGAAUUGAAACCCAACUAAUGCGUAGAAGUUCAUCGUUCGGACCUAAGACCACCAACGAAGGUAAUUCUAGUAUAUUAAUACACGAUAGCUAAGAUCCAAACUGGGAUUAGAUACCCCACUAUGCUUAGCCCUAAACUUAAGUAAUUCCUAUAACAAAAUUAUUUGCCAGGGGACUACGAGCCACAGCUUAAAACUCAAAGGACUUGGCGGCGCUUUAUAUCCGUCUAGAGGAGCCUGUUCUAUAAUCGAUAAACCCCGUUCCACCUUACCAACUCUUGCCUAAUCAGCUUAUAUACCGCCAUCUUCAGUAAACCCUAAAAAGGACGGUAAAGUGAGCAAAAUAAUCAAACAUGAAGACGUUAGGUCAAGGUGUAGCCUAUGAGUUGGAAAGCAAUGGGCUACAUUUUCUUAAAAAGAACAUUACGAUAUCCUUUAUGAAAUCUAAAGGACUAAGGAGGAUUUAGUAGUAAAUUAAGAAUAGAGUGCUUAAUUGAAUGGAAGCUCUGGAGCGCGCACACACCGCCCGUCACCCUCUUCAAAUAACAAGCUAAACCUAUAAAUACAUAAUUUCUCAAAAGCAUAUUUAUGAGAAGAGGUAAGUCGUAACAAGGUAAGCAUACUGGAAAGUGUGCUUGGACUAAC
rnacentral:ncRNA from 1 species